GGGGGGGCAAGCGUUGUUCGGAAUUACUGGGCGUAAAGGGCUCGUAGGCGGCCAACUAAGUCGGAUGUGAAAUCCCCAGGCUCAACCUGGGAACUGCAUCCGAUACUGGAUGGCUUGAAUUCGGGAGAGGGAUGCAGAAUUCCAGGUGUAGCGGUGAAAUGCGUAGAUAUCUGGAGGAAUACCGGUGGCGAAGGCGGCAGCCUGGACCGACAUUGACGCUGAGGAGCGAAAGCCAGGGGAGCAAACGGG
rnacentral:rRNA from 1 species